UUAUUUGGAAAUGUAGGGGAAAAUCAGAUUUACUCAGUGGUGGCAAUUUUGAGAAUUAGGUUCGAUUCUGCCAGCAUUCGUCCUCAACUUCAAAUCAGAAGAGGGAGCUUGUUAUCCUCAUUGUAACCUUCAAUUUUCCCCU